UUUUUGUUCUUUUUUUCUCAAUUUCUCCCUCAUACAUUUGAAUGUGACUUCGAUGGUUCUUGCUGUGUUUCUCACUAUUUCAAACCCAAAUCCACCGGUAAUGCCCUAAAUUUCACUAUUUAUACUGAAUAUUGUCAAUUAUUCAGGAUGUUGAAACCAAGCAGAAGAAGCAGGAUGACUACAUUGAUAUCGAGAGCUCGAGGAAGGAGAGAAGGACCUUGCUAUGAGUCAAGAGUACAACUAUUGUAUCUAUAAAAAGCGAAACAGGACGUUGACAUUGGCCCAAUACAAUUAUUUAAAGAGACGAGAUAUCAUCUGACUAAAGGAUGGAUAAACCCUGCUGUCGAAGAAACAUAUGACAAGUUUGUCAGGUUGAAAGAAGCACCCGUAGCUGAAGGAGAGGACCGGCCCACAAAAACACAAGUGGGCAGAACCGUAUUUGGACGUCGAUUAGGAUACGUCACAGCCACUGGGUGGGGUGUCAUGCCAUUACCCAAGACAGGAGGCUCAUCACAAACUUUUUCUCAAUGAACACAAGCAUUGGAAGAAGAAUUAGCCCUGACAAUAGCUGAAUUAGCAAGUAAUAAUGCUCGAAUGGAUAUUAUGCAGGUUAACGAACUCAAGACACAUGCAGAAUUAGAAAUUAUACGGGAGAGGGAACUUAAGAGUGCAGAAUUAGAAAAUUUUCGACGCAUGUUUGAAAAUUACGUUAGUAGUCAACGAGGCCCAGGAUCAUCUUCUGAAUAGGUGCAAAGAUAUUUGCGAACUAAUUUUGAUGAUUAAUUUUGGAUAUAUUAUGACACAGAAGAAUAUGAAAGCUAGAAUAUGAAAGCUUUCAGGACUCAGGAGUACUAAUUUUAUGUUAUUUCUAUUUUUGGACUAUCUUGUAAUAGAAAAAAAUUUGUAUUAUACUUGUUUCACUGGGUGUCUUUUUAUGGAACAUGGUUUGGGUAGGAAUAUUUGAUGUUUAAUG